UACGGGGGGUGCGAGCGUUGUCCGGAAUCACUGGGCGUAAAGGGCGCGUAGGUGGUUUGAUAAGGGUGUGGUGAAAGCCCGGGGCUCAACCCCGGGUCUGCCGUGCCGACUGUCAAACUCGAGGGCUGUAGAGGCAGACGGAAUUCCGGGUGUAGUGGUGGAAUGCGUAGAUAUCGGGAGGAACACCAGUGGCGAAGGCGGUUGCCUGGAGCUUUGCUGACGCUGAUGCGCGAAAGCGUGGGGAGCGAUCCGG
rnacentral:rRNA from 1 species